rnacentral:rRNA from 1 species
CACUCCUGCGGGAGGCAGCAGUGGGGAAUAUUGGACAAUGGGCGCAAGCCUGAUCCAGCCAUGCCGCGUGAGUGAUGAAGGCCCUAGGGUUGUAAAGCUCUUUCACCGGUGAAGAUAAUGACGGUAACCGGAGAAGAAGCCCCGGCUAACUUCGUGCCAGCAGCCGCGGUAAUACGAAGGGGGCUAGCGUUGUUCGGAUUUACUGGGCGUAAAGCGCACGUAGGCGGACUAUUAAGUCAGGGGUGAAAUCCCGGGGCUCAACCCCGGAACUGCCUUUGAUACUGGUAGUCUUGAGUUCGAGAGAGGUGAGUGGAAUUCCGAGUGUAGAGGUGAAAUUCGUAGAUAUUCGGAGGAACACCAGUGGCGAAGGCGGCUCACUGGCUCGAUACUGACGCUGAGGUGCGAAAGCGUGGGGAGCAAACAGGAUUAGAAACCCCAGUAGUCCC